rnacentral:lncRNA from 1 species
GUGAAAACCAAUGUUAAUCCAAUGGUACUUGUGAAGAUAUGCUUUAAUGGCAAGUUUGAAUUCUCAUCUGAGCUCACAAUUAAAAUAGAAGACACUGUGGACCCAGCCUUGUCUUGUCGCUAAGCAGCUCUGCUUGCAGCAAGGAAAUCUGGAUGAAAUGUUUUGCAGACACAACAUUGCACACAUUGCAGAAAGUGGUUGGCUGAAGUCUGUGCCAACACAGUGGGCAGCUCUUUCUUCUUCUGUCUGAGGGACACUUCUCCAGAGUUAACUGUUUGUGAGAUGUGGUGGACUUACAUAUGUACUAAGUUUGUUUCAUCAGACUAAUGAGAAUAAUGGAGGAUGAAGAUUUAUCCCAGAACAGACUUCUCCCAUCCAGCAAGAAGUGGUACCUUUCUCAAAGAUGGGAUGCAGUCAAAAAAAAGUCAAGCCAAGCAUUUGAGCACUACAAUUAUUUGAAGAUGAAGGAAGCUGAAGACUGUCAGUGAGGAC